GUGGGUGUAGCUCAGUUGGUUAGAGCGCCAGGUUGUGGCCCUGGAGGGCGCGGGUUCAAUUCCCGUCAUCCACCCCA
rnacentral:tRNA from 1 species